GGGGCUAUGGUGAAGAGGUUAUCACAGCGCUCUGUGGCAGCGCGGUCACGGGUUCGAUUCCCGUUAGCCCCC
rnacentral:tRNA from 1 species